rnacentral:rRNA from 1 species
UACGAAGGGGGCGAGCGUUGUUCGGAAUUACUGGGCGUAAAGGGCGCGUAGGCGGCCGAUCAAGUUAGAUGUGAAAGUCCUGGGCUUAACCCGGGAACUGCGUCCGAUACUGGCUGGCUUGAAUCCGGGAGAGGGAUGCGGAAUUCCAGGUGUAGCGGUGAAAUGCGUAGAUAUCUGGAGGAACACCGGUGGCGAAGGCGGCAUCCUGGACCGGUAUUGACGCUGAUGCGCGAAAGCCAGGGGAGCAAACGGG